rnacentral:rRNA from 1 species
UACGAAGGGUGCAAGCGUUAAUCGGAAUUACUGGGCGUAAAGCGUGCGUAGGUGGUUUCUUAAGUCUGUCGUGAAAGCCCCGGGCUCAACCUGGGAAUGGCGAUGGAUACUGGCGGGCUAGAGUGCGGUAGAGGAGAGUGGAAUUCCCGGUGUAGCAGUGAAAUGCGUAGAGAUCGGGAGGAACAUCAGUUGCGAAGGCGGCUCUCUGGACCAGCACUGACACUGAGGCACGAAAGCGUGGGGAGCAAACAGG